GACAGAGGGUGCAAACGUUGUUCGGAAUUACUGGGCGUAAAGCGUGUGUAGGCGGUUUGCUAAGUCGGGUGUGAAAGCCCGGGCUCAACCCGGGAAGUGCACUCGAAACUGGCAGGCUAGAGUACUGGAGAGGUUGGUGGAAUUCUCGGGUGUAGAGGUGAAAUUCGUAGAUAUCGAGAGGAACACCGGUGGCGAAGGCGGCCAACUGGACAGAUACUGACGCUGAGACACGAAAGCGUGGGAGC
rnacentral:rRNA from 1 species